rnacentral:misc_RNA from 1 species
AAAAAAAGCUACAGCCGAGCAUAGCACCACAUGAACAAAGAGUUCAUAAAAAGUUGCACAUGUUAUUGGAUUAUUUCUGCUCAACAAACUAAAUAUUGCAGAUCCAUGCAUACAAAAACUUUCAUCGCAUCAUAGGGUAAGGAAGCACAGUUUCAGCGUAAGAUGCAUGGUAUCAAAAUUAAUGUAUUUGUUUGAUAUGCAGGAAAAAUCAUAAAGUAAACCAAAUGCCG